UCCCACAAGAAAAAAAAAACAAAAACAAAAAAAAUCCCUCCAGCACCUGGCAAUGAUCGAUCACUUUAAGGGCAUGUUUGGUUCAUGAUUGGAAUAGAAAUGGAAAAUAGAAUUGGAUUGCUUUGGAAUGGAAAAUAGAAUGACGAAUCACCCAAAAAUGUUUGGUUCAUUAUUGGAAUGAAAAUCGGAAUGAAAAUUUAAAAUUGUUGAGAGAGGGUUUUGAUUAAGAGAGAGGAAAGUGAUGAAGGGAGAGGAGGUAAGUGUUGAUAAAAGACGAUUUUGAAUAGUAUACUUUGGAAUGAGCCAAUCCAGGAUUCAAAGUCGGAUUGAAUCAUAAAUGGAUUUGAUCAUUUCCAUUCCGGAGUGGAAUGAAAAUCGGAAUCCGAUUCUUAUAAAACAAACGACAACUAUCGGAAUCAAUAAAUUCCAUUCGGAUUCCAUAAUUUAAAAUAGGAGAACCAAACAUGCCCUAAAGGUUCAGUUCGACGGCUUC
rnacentral:lncRNA from 1 species